rnacentral:rRNA from 1 species
CGAGAAAACUUUGCAAUGUGCGAAAGCACGACAAGGUUAAUCCGAGCGUUUUCUGCUAAAGAAAUCUUUUGUCAGUCCUAAAAACACUGAUGAAUAAGGGGUGGGCAAGUUCUGGUGUCAGCCGCCGCGGUAAAACCAGCACCUCAAGUGGUCAGGAGGAUUAUUGGGCCUAAAGCAUCCGUAGCCUGCUUUGUAAGUUUUCGGUAAAUCCAUUAGCUCAACUAAUGGGCUGCCGAAAAAUACUGUAGAACUAGGGAGUGGGAGAGGUAGACGGUACUCGGUAGGAAGGGGUAAAAUCCUUUGAUCUAUUGAUGACCACCUGUGGCGAAGGCGGUCUACCAGAACACGUUCGACGGUGAGGGAUGAAAGCUGGGGGAGCAAACCGGAUUAGAUACCCGGGUAGUCCCAGCUGUAAACGAUGCAGACUCGGUGAUGCCCUGGCUUAUGGCCAGUGCAGUGCCGCAGGGAAGCCGUUAAGUUUGCCG